GAUCAUGGCUCAGGAUGAACGCUAGCUACAGGCUUAACACAUGCAAGUCGAGGGGCAGCAUGGUCUUAGCUUGCUAAGGCCGAUGGCGACCGGCGCACGGGUGAGUAACGCGUAUCCAACCUGCCUUACACUCUUGGACAGCCUUCUGAAAGGGAGAUUAACACAAGAUGUUAUCAUGAGUAAGCAUUUUCGCAUGAUUAAAGGUCUACCGGUGUAAGAUGGGGAUGCG
rnacentral:rRNA from 1 species